CAAUAGCGUAUAUUAAAGUUGUUGCAGUUAAAAAGCUCGUAGUUGGAUUUGUGGUGUACGAAGGCGGCCCAUCACAUUGUGGCGGUGCUUGCCUUUGUCGCCAUCCUUGGGUGGAUCCUGUGUGGCAUUAAGUUGUCGUGCAGGGGAUGCCCAUCGUUUACUGUGAAAAAAUUAGAGUGUUCAAAGCAGGCUUAUGCCGUUGAAUAUGUUAGCAUGGAAUAAUAAGAUAGGACCUUGGUACUAUUUUGUUGGUUUGCGCACCAAGGUAAUGAUUAAUAGGGACAGUUGGGGGUAUUCGUAUUUCAUUGUCAGAGGUGAAAUUCUUGGAUUUUUGAAAGACGAACUACUGCGAAAGCAUUUACCAAGGAUGUUUUCAUUAA
rnacentral:rRNA from 1 species